GACGAACGCUGGCGGCGUGCUUAACAUAUGCAAGUCGAACGGAAAGGCCCUGCUUUUGUGGGGUGCUCGAGUGGCGAACGGGUGAGUAACACGUGAGUAACCUGCCCUUGACUUUGGGAUAACUUCAGGAAACUGGGGCUAAUACCGGAUAGGAGCUCCUGCUGCAUGGUGGGGGUUGGAAAGUUUCGGCGGUUGGGGAUGGACUCGCGGCUUAUCAGCUUGUUGGUGGGGUAGUGGCUUACCAAGGCUUUGACGGGUAGCCGGCCUGAGAGGGUGACCGGCCACAUUGGGACUGAGAUACGGCCCAGACUCCUACGGGAGGCAGCAGUGGGGAAUAUUGCACAAUGGGCGGAAGCCUGAUGCAGCAACGCCGCGUGCGGGAUGACGGCCUUCGGGUUGUAAACCGCUUUCGCCUGUGACGAAGCGUGAGUGACGGUAAUGGGUAAAGAAGCACCGGCUAACUACGU
rnacentral:rRNA from 1 species